UAAGACAGAGGGGGCAAGCGUUGUCCGGAGUGACUGGGCGUACAGCGCGCGCAGGCGGUUGGUGACGUGCCGUGUCACAGCCCUGAGCUCAACUCAGGGUGGCCACGGUAGACGCACCGGCUGGAGGCAGGGAGAGGGAUGUGGAAUACCCGGUGGAGCGGUGAAAUGCGUAGAGAUCGGGUGGAACACCAGUGGCGAAGGCGGCAUCCUGGCCCUGACCUGACGCUGAGGCGCGAGAGCGUGGGGAGCAAACGGGAUUAGAUACCCCGGUAGUCCACGCCGUAAACGAUGUGGAGCCGGUGUCGGACGGUGAUUGUGCCGUUCGGUGCCUGAGCUUACGUGAUGACUCCACCGCCUGGGGACUACGGCCGCAAGGCUA
rnacentral:rRNA from 1 species